AUGCCAAAUGUGUCCCCAUUUCACAGAAACACCAGUGACAAACAGAAGGCAGAGUGCUGGACCCUCACCUUGCUUGCUCCUGCUCUCUAUUUAUUCAAGGUUGAUGCAGGUUUCUUUUUGCAUGAGCACAUUCAGGAUUUGGCUGUUCCAAAUCCAUUCCUGAAUCCAACCCAUUCAGGAGAAUUCAGAGAGCAGGAACCCCAAAAUCCUGGCAUUGUGCUUCCCUCCAGAGCCCAGACAAAACCAUGUAAAACAUUUAUUUUUGUUUCUGUGCUCCUGCCUGGAUCAUUGCUCUGGCAUUCCUUUUCACCAGAUGGGAGUGCUGCUGUCCUCGUGGAGAUUAAUUAGCCUGUUCUGUGAUUAAUUACGGGCAAUAAUUCUCCAGCUCUAUCAUUCCUCUGCACUCUGAACACACACAGCACAUCUCUGGUGUCUUGUCUUGGGCUUCCACCCAGUGCUAAGCUUGAGCUACACUUAAAAAUCAAUGGUUUUGAGGUAAAAAAGAGUAAAUCUAAUUAUUUUCCUUUGCCCCUAAGCUUGAACUUGCUGUGUCUAAGCCACUCUGGAAAGGGGAGCUAGGAAAAAAAAAAAACAGAAAGAAAGAUAAAUUAAUUAUAAAUACCUAGUGACCAAGCAAAUGGUUUCAAAGUUCAGAGCCUAGGGCUGUAAAGAAAUGUAGAUAUUUCUCUGCUAACCCCCAGCAUCAGUGGGAACACCCUCCCUCAGUAACUCUUGCUCUAUUUUAAAUUUAUUGCUUAUUUUCCCUCCAUGUGGAACUUGGUUUUGAAGCAGUGCUGUUUGUGGAGAGCCCCAUUCAGCCUCAAAAAAUCCUUCUUAAAACAGCUUAAAUCAGCUCCUUUUGGAGCUGAGAGGAAUUUUAUCCCUAACUUUGUCUCCUGAGAGCUGAAUCCUUCAUCUCCACCUUUCUGGAGCAUUUUUCCUUGGGCUGCCUUGUUCAGGAGAGAAGGGAGGUGAGUCAUUCAUUAACUCUAUAAAGAGAUUUUCAUGUGGUUUUUGUCCUCCUCUGGAAUGUGCAUUUGUGACUGAUUAAUCUCAGUGCUGAAAGCAUCACAAAGCCCCUGGAACUGCUCAUGCAAUAAAAUGAUUUUGUUUCUUCUCGCUGUAGGACA
rnacentral:lncRNA from 1 species